rnacentral:rRNA from 1 species
UACGUAGGGAGCAAGCGUUGUCCGGAAUCAUUGGGCGUAAAGCGCGCGUAGGUGGCCUCAUAAGUCCGUUGUGAAAGUCAAAGGCUCAACCUUUGAAAGCCGAUGGAUACUGUGAGACUAGAGUACGGAAGAGGCGAGUGGAAUUCCUGGUGUAGCGGUGGAAUGCGCAGAUAUCAGGAGGAACACCAAUAGCGAAGGCAGCUCGCUGGGACGUUACUGACGCUGAGGUACGAAAGCGUGGGGAGCAAACAGG